rnacentral:rRNA from 1 species
UACGGGAGGCAGCAGUCGGGAAUUUUGCCCAAUGGACGAGAGUCUGAGGCAGCAACUCCGCGUGAGGGAUGAAGGCCUUCGGGUCGUAAACCUCUUUUCUCAGGGAAGAUACAAGACGGUACCUGAGGAAUAAGCCACGGCUAACUACGUGCCAGCAGCCGCGGUAAU